rnacentral:lncRNA from 1 species
GAAAUGGGGAAUGUGUCAAAGAGACAACAACCCGACCAAAUAAAAAACAACAGCAGAGGGUCACCAACAGGUCUUCAAUGUAGCGAGAAAUUCCCGCACCAGGAGGCGUCCUUCAGCUGGCCCCUAAACAAAUAUAUACUAGUCCAGUGAUAAUGAACGCCAUACUAAUUUCCAAAUUGUACACAAGAAACCAAAAUUAAAAUAAUACAAGACUAACAAAGGCC